CGCCAUUUGACGAAAACUCACAAUCUUCACAAGGAAGCAUCAUCCAGAGAGGAGGACAGAGGACAGUGGACACACAGCUUAACAUGAUGGACUAUAGGACAGGACUGCUGCUUUUAACCAUCUGCUGCUAGACAGGUGUUGAUGGUCAGACUCUGACAGAAUCUGAACCAGUGAUUAA